rnacentral:rRNA from 1 species
CCUACGGGAGGCAGCAGUGGGGAAUAUUGGGCAAUGGGCGCAAGCCUGACCCAGCAACGCCGCGUGUAGGAAGAAGGCUUUCGGGUUGUAAACUUCUUUUCUCAGGGACGAAGCAAGUGACGGUACCUGAGGAAUCAGCCACGGCUAACUCCGUGCCAGCAGCCGCGGUAAUACGUAGGUGGCAAGCGUUAUCCGGAUUUACUGGGUGUAAAGGGCGUGUAGGCGGGAAAGCAAGUCAGAUGUGAAAACCAUGGGCUCAACCUGUGGCCUGCAUUUGAAACUGUUUGUCUUGAGUACUGGAGAGGCAGACGGAAUUCCUAGUGUAGCGGUGAAAUGCGUAGAGAUUAGGAGGAACACCAGUGGCGAAGGCGGUCUGCUGGACAGCAACUGACGCUGAGGCGCGAAAGCGUGGGGAGCAAACAGGAUUAGAUACCCCUGUAGUC